GAUGAACGCUGGCGGCGUGCCUAAUACAUGCAAGUAGAACGCUGAAGGAAGGAGCUUGCUCUUUCCGGAUGAGUUGCGAACGGGUGAGUAACGCGUAGGUAACCUGCCUGGUAGCGGGGGAUAACUAUUGGAAACGAUAGCUAAUACCGCAUAACAGUAGAUGUUGCAUGAUAUCUACUUAAAAGGUGCAAUUGCACCACCACCAGAUGGACCUGCGUUGUAUUAGCUAGUUGGUGAGGUAACGGCUCACCAAGGCGACGAUACAUAGCCGACCUGAGAGGGUGAUCGGCCACACUGGGACUGAGACACGGCCCAGACUCCUACGGGAGGCAGCAGUAGGGAAUCUUCGGCAAUGGACGGAAGUCUGGCCGAGCAACGCCGCGUGAGUGAAGAAGGUUUUCGGAUCGUAAAGCUCUGUUGUAAGAGAAGAACGAGUGUGAGAGUGGAAAGUUCACACUGUGACGGUAUCUUACCAGAAAGGGACGGCUAACUACGUG
rnacentral:rRNA from 1 species